rnacentral:rRNA from 1 species
CCUACGGGAGGCAGCAGUGGGGAAUAUUGCGCAAUGGGCGAAAGCCUGACGCAGGGACGCCGCGUGAGGGAUGAAGGUCUUCGGAUCGUAAACCUCUGUCAGCAGGGAAGAACGGUCACUGUGCUAAUCAGCAGUGAAUUGACGGUACCUGCAAAGGAAGCACCGGCUAACUCCGUGCCAGCAGCCGCGGUAAUACGGAGGGUGCGAGCGUUAAUGGGAAUUACUGGGCGUAAGGGGGUCGUAGGCGGUAGGUCAAGUCAAGGGUGAAAUCCCCGGGCUCAACGUGGGAACUGCCUUUGAAACUGGCAGACUGGAGUGUGUGAGAGGAUAGUGGAAUUCCAGGUGUAGGGGUGAAAUCCGUAGAUAUCUGGAGGAACAUCAGUGGCGAAGGCGACUAUCUGGAACAUAACUGACGCUGAGGAGCGAAAGCGUGGGUAGCAAACAGGAUUAGAUACCCGAGUAGUC